rnacentral:rRNA from 1 species
GUAGGGAAUAUUGGGCAAUGGUCGGAAGACUGACCCAGCCAUGCCGCGUGCAGGAAGACGGCCCUCUGGGUUGUAAACUGCUUUUAUCUGGGAAGAAAAAGGCCAUGCGUGGCAAAUUGCCGGUACCAGAUGAAUAAGCACCGGCUAACUCCGUGCCAGCAGCCGCGGUAAUACGGAGGGUGCGAGCGUUGUCCGGAUUUAUUGGGUUUAAAGGGUGCGUAGGCGGCUGAUUAAGUCAGCGGUGAAAGACUUCGGCUUAACCGGAGCAGUGCCGUUGAUACUGGGUGGCUUGAGUGUCGGAGGGGUACAUGGAAUUGAUGGUGUAGCGGUGAAAUGCAUAGAUACCAUCAGGAACACCGAUAGCGAAGGCAUUGUACUGGCCGACAACUGACGCUGAUGCACGAAAGUGUGGGGAUCGAGCAGGAUUAGAAACCCGAGUAGUCC